GCGGACGGCUCAGUAACACGUAGUCAACCUAACUCGUGGACGUGGAUAACCUCGGGAAACUGAGAAUAAACCACGAUAGAUCAUAGUGCCUGGAAUGGCUUAUGGUCCAAACAGUUUACUGCCAUGGGAUGGGACUGCGGCCUAUCAGCUUGUUGGUGAGGUAAUGGCCCACCAAGGCGAUUACAGGUACGGGCUCUGAGAGGAGAAGCCCGGAGAUGGGUACUGAGACACGGACCCAGGCCCUAUGGGGCGCAGCAGGCGAGAAACCUUAGCAAUGUGCGAAAGCACGACUGGCUCAGUCCGAGUGAUUCCUGAUAAAGGAGUCUUUUGCUUGUCCUAAAAGCACAGGUGAAUAAGGGGUGGGCAAGUCUGGUGUCAGCCGCCGCGGUAAUACCAGCACCUCGAGUGGUCAGGACGUUUAUUGGGCCUAAAGCAUCCGUAGCCGGCUUUGCAAGUCUUCGGUUAAAUCCACCUGCUCAACAGAUGGGCCGCUGGAGAUACUACAGAGCUAGGGAGUGGGAGAGGCAGACGGUAUUCAGUGGGUAGGGGUAAAAUCCUCUGAUCCAUUGAGGACCACCAGUGGCGAAGGCGGUCUGCCAGAACACGUUCGACGGUGAGGGAUGAAAGCUGGGGGAGCAAACCGGAUUAGAUACCCGGGUAGUCCCAGCUGUAAACGAUGCAAACUCGGUGAUGCAUUGGCUUAUGGCCA
rnacentral:rRNA from 1 species